UGGGGAAUCUUGGACAAUGGGGGCAACCCUGAUCCAGCCAUGCCGCGUGAGUGAUGAAGGCCUUAGGGUCGUAAAGCUCUUUCGCCUGUGAAGAUAAUGACGGUAGCCGGAGAAGAAGCCCCGGCUAACUCCGUGCCAGCAGCCGCGGUAAUACGGAGGGGGCUAGCGUUGUUCGGAAUUACUGGGCGUAAAGCGCGCGUAGGCGGACUGAUCAGUCAGGGGUGAAAUCCCGGGGCUCAACCCCGGGAACUGCCUUUGAUACUGUCAGUCUUGAGUCCGGAAGAGGCGAGUGGAAUACCGAGUGUAGAGGUGAAAUUCGUAGAUAUUUGGAGGAACACCAGUGGCGAAGGCGGCUCACUGGCUCGAUACUGACGCUGAGGUGCGAAAGUGUGGGGAGCAAACAGGAUUAGAUACCCUGGUAGUCCACACCGUAAACGAUGAAUGCCAGUCGUCGGGUAGCAUGCUAUUCGGUGACACACCUAACGGAUUAAGCAUUCCGCCUGGGAGUACGGUCGCAAGAUUAAAAGCUC
rnacentral:rRNA from 1 species